rnacentral:tRNA from 1 species
GGAAGCUUAUCUGUACGGCAAACAGAAACGCUCUUCAAAAGCGUUGGUCCCCUUCCAAAAGGGAUUAUUCGGGUUCGACCCCUGACUUCCGU